rnacentral:rRNA from 1 species
CCUGGGAGUGAGGGCGCGAGCGAUAACGUCCGCGUCCAAGCGCGGGAACAACCGAGACCGCCAGCUAAGGUCCCGAAGUCUGGGCUAAGUGGGAAAGGAUGUGGCGUCGCGGAGACAGCCAGGAGGUUGGCUUAGAAGCAGCCAUCCUUUAAAGAGUGCGUAAUAGCUCACUGGUCGAGUGACGCUGCGCCGAAAAUGAUCGGGGCUUAAGCCCAGCGCCGAAGCUGCGGGUCUAGGGCGGAUGUCCUAGGCGGUAGGGGAGCGUUCCCGAUGCCGAUGAAGGCCGACCCGCGAGGGCGGCUGGAGGUAAGGGAAGUGCGAAUGCCGGCAUGAGUAACGAUAAACAGGGUGAGAAUCCCUGUCGCCGUAAGCCCAAGGGUUCCUACGCAAUGGUCGUCAGUGUAGGGUUAGGCGGGGCCUAAGGUGAGGCCGAGAGGCGUAGCCGAAGGGCAGCCGGUUAAUAUUCCGGCCCUUCCCGUGGGUGCGAUGGGGGGACGCUCUAGGCUAGGGGGACCGGAGCCAUGGACGAGCC